rnacentral:snRNA from 1 species
GGAUGUAAGGAAACCUGACUGAGACAUCUGUCAUACCACUGAUUGCUAGGGUUGAUUCAGUUGAUCUGGAUGGCUAGGUGGUUGCUGUCUUCCUUUGUCAUAGCUCAGUACGUGUCCCUCCUAAAGCUUCACGCUCAGUGGAGGAGGAUGGCUUUCUCCAGUAGAAUUAUUUGGUCUGGGAGUCCCUGGGUGGUACAAACGGUUAAGCAUUGGGUCACUAAUUUAAGAUUGGCGGUUUGAACCCACUCAGAUAGACCUCUGAUGAUCUGCUUCCAAAAGAUCAUAACCAUGAAAACCUU